rnacentral:rRNA from 1 species
UAGGGAAUCUUCGGCAAUGGGGGGAACCCUGACCGAGCAACGCCGCGUGAGUGAAGAAGGUUUUCGGAUCGUAAAGCUCUGUUGUUAAGGAAGAACGAGUGUGAGAAUGGAAAGUUCAUACUGUGACGGUACUUAACCAGAAAGCCACGGCUAACUACGUGCCAGCAGCCGCGGUAAUACGUAGGUGGCAAGCGUUGUCCGGAUUUAUUGGGCGUAAAGCGAGCGCAGGCGGUCAAUUAAGUCUGAUGUGAAAGCCCCCGGCUCAACCGGGGAGGGUCAUUGGAAACUGGUUGACUUGAGUGCAGAAGAGGGGAGUGGAAUUCCAUGGGUAGCGGUGAAAUGCGUAGAUAUAUGGAGGAACACCAGUGGCGAAGGCGACUCUCUGGUCUGUAACUGACGCUGAGGCUCGAAAGCGUGGGUAGCAAACAGG